rnacentral:rRNA from 1 species
UGAGUUUGAUCCUGGCUCAGGACGAGCGCUGGCGGCGUGCCUAACACAUGCAAGUCGAGCGAGGAAGCCCCUUCGGGGGUGGAAUAGCGGCGGACGGGUGAGUAACACGUGGGUAACCUGCCUCAAAGAGGGGGAUAGCCUCCCGAAAGGGAGAUUAAUACCGCAUAGAAGGUAAAAAUCGCAUGAUAAAUACCUUAAAGGAGCAAUCCGCUUUGAGAUGGGCCCGCGUCGCAUUAGCUAGUUGGAGGGAUAAAAGCCCCCCAAGGCGACGAUGCGUAGCCGACCUGAGAGGGUGAACGGCCACAUUGGAACUGAGAUACGGUCCAGACUCCUACGGGAGGCAGCAGUGGGGAAUAUUGCACAAUGGGGGAAACCCUGAUGCAGCAACGCCGCGUGAGUGAAGAAGGUUUUCGGAUCGUAAAGCUCUGUCAUCCGGGACGAUAAUGACGGUACCGGAAGAGGAGGCCACGGCUAACUACGUGCCAGCAGCCGCGGUAAUAC